GGGGAAUCUUGCGCAAUGGGCGAAAGCCUGACGCAGCAACGCCGCGUGAGCGAAGAAGGCCUUCGGGUCGUAAAGCUCUGUCAGGGGGAAAGAAGGCACCUGGGUUAAUAGCCCAAGGGCUGACGGUACCUCCAAAGGAAGCCACGGCUAACUACGUGCCAGCAGCCGCGGUAAUACGUAGGUGGCGAGCGUUGUCCGGAAUCAUUGGGCGUAAAGAGCGCGUAGGUGGCUUGUCAGGUCUGAUGUGAAAACCUGGGGCUCAACCCCAGGCCUGCAUCAGAAACCGGCUUGCUAGAGUCUGGGAGAGGAGAGUGGAAUUCCUGGUGUAGCGGUGAAAUGCGUAGAUAUCAGGAGGAACACCGGUAGCGAAGGCGGCUCUCUGGAACAGUACUGACGCUGAGGCGCGAAAGCUAGGGGAGCGAAC
rnacentral:rRNA from 1 species